UACGGAGGGUGCAAGCGUUAAUCGGAAUUACUGGGCGUAAAGCGUGCGUAGGCGGUUCGUUAAGUCUGUUGUGAAAGCCCCGGGCUCAACCUGGGAAUGGCAAUGGAUACUGGCGAGCUAGAGUGUGUCAGAGGAUGGUGGAAUUCCCGGUGUAGCGGUGAAAUGCGUAGAUAUCCGAAGGAACAUCAGUGGCGAAAGCGGCUUCCUGGACCAGAACUGACGAUCAGGCUCGAAAGCGUGGGGAGCAAACAGGA
rnacentral:rRNA from 1 species